AUAUAUAUAUAGGGACCGGAUUUCGUCCCGUUACUGUACGGACACGGAUUUCAAUCCGUGAUGUACUGUAACCGUUGGAUGGGUAGUUAAUUUGAUCCAACGGUUGGGGUUCAUGUAGGGGUUUAUGUAGGGGUAAUUAGGUAUCAAAAAAUGGCUACCGGUUACUUUUUUUGAAAUUUAAAUUUAUUAAAAAUGGAAAAGUGAAAAGUGACAUCUAUCCAUCAAUCUUGUCCAAUCAACCGUCGUACUCCUCCACUCCUCCACUUCUUCACUUUCAUUUUCUUUCAUUGUUCUAUUUAUCAUUCGUUUUUCCAUUUUCGUCUCUGCUAGGGCAAAGUUCUUCCUCUUCCAUUUUCUUUUCAUUUUCCAUUUUGUUUUUCCAUUUUCUAUUUUCGUUUGAGGUAGUAAAAACCAUAUUGUACAUUGUGGUGACUGUGGUGUACAUUACUCGAAGUGCCAUUGUUGGAGUUGUUAGAGGGGGGUGUCGACGGUGAGUUAUACAUUACUCCGUUAUACUUUACAUACAUUUUCUUAUUGACAGAAAAAAAAAUAUAUUUUUGAAGGGAAUGUGGUGUUUUUCCAUUUUCGUGUACUUAAUAGUUUCAUUUUGUCUCAGGUGUGGAGGUUGAGGUGGUGAAGGGAGUUUGCAUAUUUUUGUCGAGGUUUAUAAAAUGGUAUUUAAACGGAAGAGGGGGGCUGCUGCAGACAAAAAGGAUGCAGCAGAGAUAAAGAAGAAGGAUCCGAAGGAAGCUUGGCCGAAGUACUACCAAGCCAAUUUCUAUGCUUAUGCUGAUGCACACAAAGAGAAACCUAAAGCAGAUGUGAGUGACUUGGACUGUGUUAUGGAUCUUUUAUUUUUUAUCUUUGAUUUAGCGUACUUUUGUUAAUAAUCGAGUCUUAAUAUUGCAGGUGCUUCGUAGUUUUAAGGAGCAAUUCAAGCUUCUUACCGAUGAAGAGAUUGAGAAUUGGGCUGCAUACGAAGUCGAGGCUUCCCCCUCCAAGGUUGGUGGUAGAGGGAAAGGGAAGAAGGUGAAGGAGA